rnacentral:lncRNA from 1 species
ACGUCUUGAAAAGUUACUCAGCUGUUAUGUUGAGCAUAUUGUAUCAGUCGAAAGGUGAGUGUUCGGUUUAAUUAAUUUUGGUCCGUGAAGCAAGUUACUGAAUGAAUCCUGUUACCUAAUAUAUAUAUCGGUCAGAAUCCAUAUCAAUUGAUCUAGAAGCACAUCGUUGGGUCAUUAAGUCAUGGUAGUGUUGCUCAUGAUUUUUCUACAACCUGUUUAUAGUUUCAUUUCAUAUGAGUUUUAAUGCCAUUUAUACAUCAUAUAACAUAUAUAAACACUCUUAUAAAGUAACACAUAUAUACUUAGGAGACAUCACAUAAAGCACACAAUAAUUGCCAGAAACUACACCAGACUCUUUACAUAUACAAACAUACUGACAUACAUGUCUUAGGCGCUUCCUUGUCUCAGUCAUGUCUUGUCUUGUGUGUUUCUAACCGGUUCCAUCGUCGCCACCACCGUCUCCUCCCUUGCCACCCCAGUUAUCAUAGUUUUGUCUUGGAAUGUUAUGGUGGUUGUCUACUCCUCUUGCUGAUGGAAUGACGGUUGUACCCUUUUGAAAAUAGUGAAGUCUCUGAUUUUGGCUGUGUAUCCCUCUCCCGCCUCCCUCCACAUUAAAAGAGCUCAUAAACACCAUUAUUACCACCACCACCACCAGGACAGGCCUUGUCUGAAUUUUCAUUUCUUUUUGUUUUUGUUUUGUUUUGUUUCUUGCAAUAUGUCGUCCUUUUAUAGAAAUUAGAAGUAAAGUUUAGG